UUCAUCCUGCGACAAAGUUGUUUUCUUCCUAAUUAAGACAGUGGAAAAUUUUACUUUGUCUUCAUUGUUGCAAAGUAGAGGACACAAAAAGAGAAAGUUGAUUAGAACCUUCUACAUACAGCCUGCCAAAUAAGCAAAAGCAUUCCCAUUUACACAGCACGUAGAAGUGGAGAUGGCAGAAAACUCUGUAGGACGGGGCAAGAUGAGACUUCUCAGGGUCGGAGAACAGUCAUCAGUUGCUAGUGAUUUACUGGCACUGUUGGAGCAGAGAUAACACUUGUGUUUGAAGAAACAAGUUGGUGGCCACUUCCUGUGGUUCUUUUGUUUGUUGCACAGUGAGCAAGCCUGACUGAACAAGCCACUGCAAAGUUUCCACAUGUAAAUGUUUGUAAUUAUGCAUUUGCAAAUGAUCAAACACAAUUAAACCUUGAACUAAGAAGUCCUUCUCCACACUGCAGAUUUAAAAAAUCUUUUUCUGUAUAUCCACUAUUAGAUAGAAACGAAUGUGAGGAAAACCUUGUCCUGUGCAAAUUUGGCCUCUCCUGAUGGUUCUCUUCACCCUGCCUAUGUGAAAUUACCCUUGGAAACAAAACAGAGAAAUACAGUGUAGAAAAUGAUGUAGCUCUGAACCUUGGUGUAAUUAACAUCAGCACUUACCUGAGAGACUGUUCAGAAUAGUUAUUUGCUGUAUUUUGUUUAGGUAUUCCUGCUGCAGAAACAUUUUUAAAAUGAGGAAUUUAUUCCCACUGACGCUUAUUUUCAAUUAUUUUAAAACAAUACUUUAAAAAGCUUUGUAAUUGAUAAAAUACUAACUUCACUGAAUUUUCACGUUUGAUUACUGACCACUGCUAGGAAGCCAAGUUUCCUCCAUUUGCCGUAAGUAGAUGAAAGCAUGACACCCGGGACUUUGGCUCUUUGUUCCAACAAAUAAUUCAUAUUCAUUCUGAGAUAAAAUGUUCCCUUUAGUCCUUAUCUAAUUACUAAAUAGAUUCAGUAGCCUAAAAUCUUCAAUCAAAUCUUAACCUUAAGUCUUCAUAUAAUUUUUCCUUCAGUUAAUGUCCUGCUCAAACAAGAACUAUUUAUUAGAAUGAUCCCUCUGGUUUAAUCAGUUAUAUUUACAUUAAUAAAAGUAGGGUACAGGCCCUGUCCUAUGCUAAUUGAACAUCUAGCAUUCUCCUAGUGCUCUCAUGGUUGCCUGUUAGUAUUUGUAAACAGCAUAUCAGUACCUUGGUUACCACUGCAUCUGCAGCUAUAUGUGCUGCCUUGGCAUGGCAGAAAUAAAUUACAGACCUCCAGAAUUUCUUUGCAUUUAAUUUGAGAUUCUGUGGGAACUACUGUUGAUUUGAAAUUUGAAUGUAGAACAUCAAUAUAUGAAAAAUAACUUAAGGGUGUUCAUAGGA